AACGCAUAUUGCGCCGCGCGGCAUUCCGCGCGGCACGUCCGACCGAGCGCCGCUGACAACGCUCGCUGGCCUCCUCACGGGGAGGGCCGGCGGUGCUGGGCGCGCCGGAGCGAUCCGGCGCCCCGAAACACAGCGGCGGCCUAUCGGCGAGCCCGGCGAAGUAGAACCAGCGCCUGGGGGACCCGAGACGGCCCGCUAGACCCUGCCAUCACAGAACUUGUUGGCCUCGGGUCGGACGAGGUUACCCGCUGAACUUAA
rnacentral:misc_RNA from 1 species